rnacentral:rRNA from 1 species
CCUACGGGGCGCAGCAGUGAGGAAUAUUGGUCAAUGGGCGCGAGCCUGAACCAGCCAAGUCGCGUGAGGGAGGACGGCCCUACGGGUUGUAAACCUCUUUUGCCGGGGAGCAACGGGCGUCACGUGUGGCGCCACUGAGAGUACCCGGAGAAAAAGCAUCGGCUAACUCCGUGCCAGCAGCCGCGGUAAUACGGAGGAUGCGAGCGUUACCCGGAAUGAUUGGGCGUAAAGGGUGCGUAGGCGGCCUGCUAAGUCUGGAGUGAAAGGUACCGGCUCAACCGGUACAGGCUCUGGAAACUGGCGGG